GAAUUCGCCCUUAGAGUUUGAUCCUGGCUCAGGACGAACGCUGGCGGCGCGCCUAACACAUGCAAGUCGAACGAGCGAGAGAGAGCUUGCUUUCUCGAGCGAGUGGCGAACGGGUGAGUAACGCGUGAGGAACCUGCCUCAAAGAGGGGGACAACAGUUGGAAACGACUGCUAAUACCGCAUAAGCCCACGACCCGGCAUCGGGUAGAGGGAAAAGGAGCAAUCCGCUUUGAGAUGGCCUCGCGUCCGAUUAGCUAGUUGGUGAGGUAACGGCCCACCAAGGCGACGAUCGGUAGCCGGACUGAGAGGUUGAACGGCCACAUUGGGACUGAGACACGGCCCAGACUCCUACGGGAGGCAGCAGUGGGGAAUAUUGCACAAUGGGGGAAACCCUGAUGCAGCGACGCCGCGUGGAGGAAGAAGGUCUUCGGAUUGUAAACUCCUGUUGUUGAGGAAGAUAAUGACGGUACUCAACAAGGAAGUGACGGCUAACUACGUGCCAGCAGCCGCGGUAAAACGUAGGUCACAAGCGUUGUCCGGAAUUACUGGGUGUAAAGGGAGCGCAGGCGGGAAGACAAGUUGGAAGUGAAAUCCAUGGGCUCAACCCAUGAACUGCUUUCAAAACUGUUUUUCUUGAGUAGUGCAGAGGUAGGCGGAAUUCCCGGUGUAGCGGUGGAAUGCGUAGAUAUCGGGAGGAACACCAGUGGCGAAGGCGGCCUACUGGGCACCAACUGACGCUGAGGCUCGAAAGUGUGGGUAGCAAACAGGAAUUAGAUACCCUGGUAGUCCACACCGUAAACGAUGAUUACUAGGUGUUGGAGGAUUGACCCCUUCAGUGCCGCAGUUAACACAAUAAGUAAUCCACCUGGGGAGUACGACCGCAAGGUUGAAACUCAAAGGAAUUGACGGGGGCCCGCACAAGCAGUGGAGUAUGUGGUUUAAUUCGACGCAACGCGAAGAACCUUACCAAGUCUUGACAUCCCUUGACGAUGCUGGAAACAGUAUUUCUCUUCGGAGCAAGGAGACAGGUGGUGCAUGGUUGUCGUCAGCUCGUGUCGUGAGAUGUUGGGUUAAGUCCCGCAACGAGCGCAACCCUUAUGGUCAGUUACUACGCAAGAGGACUCUGGCCAGACUGCCGUUGACAAAACGGAGGAAGGUGGGGAUGACGUCAAAUCAUCAUGCCCUUUAUGACUUGGGCUACACACGUACUACAAUGGCGUUAAACAAAGAGAAGCAAGACCGCGAGGUGGAGCAAAACUCAGAAACAACGUCCCAGUUCGGACUGCAGGCUGCAACUCGCCUGCACGAAGUCGGAAUUGCUAGUAAUCGUGGAUCAGCAUGCCACGGUGAAUACGUUCCCGGGCCUUGCACACACCGCCCGUCA
rnacentral:rRNA from 1 species